rnacentral:rRNA from 1 species
AAGCGCGGGUAAACGGCGGGAGUAACUAUGAUUCUCUUAAGGUAGUCAAAUGUUUCGUUAUCUAAUUAGUGACGCGUAUGAAUGGAUUAACGAGAUUUUCACUGUUUCUGUCUAUUAUUCAGCGAAAUU